rnacentral:rRNA from 1 species
CCUACAUGAAGCUGGAGUUACUAGUAAUCGCAGAUCAGAAUGCUGCGGUGAAUGCGUUCCCGGGUCUUGUACACACCGCCCGUCACACCACGGGAGUUGGAGACGCCCGAAGCCGAUUAUCUAACCUGUUGGAAGAAGUCGUCGAAGGUGGAAUCAAUAACUGGGGUGAAGUCGUAACAAGGUAGCCGUAUCGGAAGGUGCGGCUGGAUCACCUCCUUUCUAAGGAGA